AGUUAAAAUGCUUUGUAAUUGGAAUGAUAGAAAUUUAAACCCUUUUUAAAGUAUCAAUUGGAGGGCAAGUCUGGUGCCAGCAGCCGCGGUAAUUCCAGCUCCAAUAGCGUAUAUUAAAAUUGUUGCAGUUAAAAAGCUCGUAGUUGAAGUUCUGCUGAAAGUAACCGGUCUGCUUUUAAUAAAAGUGGUAUCUUGGUAUGUAUUUAGCAAUGAUGUCCUUUGAAGUGUUUUUUACUUUAUUGUAAUAAAGCAUAUUCAGGACUUUUACUUUGAGAAAAUUAGAGUGUUUCUAGCAGGCUAACGCUUUGAAUACUGCAGCAUGGAAUAAUAAGAUAGGAUUUUAGUUCUACAUUAUUGGUUUUAAGAGCUAAAUUAAUGAUUGAUAGGGACAGUUGGGGGCAUUUGUAUUUA
rnacentral:rRNA from 1 species